rnacentral:rRNA from 1 species
AGAGUUUGAUCAUGGCUCAGGAUGAACGCUGGCGGCGUGCCUAAUACAUGCAAGUCGAGCGAACUGAUUAGAAGCUUGCUUCUAUGACGUUAGCGGCGGACGGGUGAGUAACACGUGGGCAACCUGCCUGUAAGACUGGGAUAACUUCGGGAAACCGAAGCUAAUACCGGAUAGGAUCUUCUCCUUCAUGGGAGAUGAUUGAAAGAUGGUUUCGGCUAUCACUUACAGAUGGGCCCGCGGUGCAUUAGCUAGUUGGUGAGGUAACGGCUCACCAAGGCAACGAUGCAUAGCCGACCUGAGAGGGUGAUCGGCCACACUGGGACUGAGACACGGCCCAGACUCCUACGGGAGGCAGCAGUAGGGAAUCUUCCGCAAUGGACGAAAGUCUGACGGAGCAACGCCGCGUGAGUGAUGAAGGCUUUCGGGUCGUAAAACUCUGUUGUUAGGGAAGAACAAGUACGAGAGUAACUGCUCGUACCUUGACGGUACCUAACCAGAAAGCCACGGCUAACUACGUGCCAGCAGCCGCGGUAAUAC